GCGGAUGUGGCGGAAUUGGCAGACGCGCUAGACUUAGGAUCUAGUGGGUUUCCCGUGCAGGUUCAAGUCCUGUCAUCCGCA
rnacentral:tRNA from 1 species